UACGUAGGGUGCAAGCGUUAAUCGGAAUUACUGGGCGUAAAGCGUGCGCAGGCGGCUUUGCAAGACAGAUGUGAAAUCCCCGGGCUCAACCUGGGAACUGCAUUUGUGACUGCACGGCUGGAGUGCGGCAGAGGGGGAUGGAAUUCCGCGUGUAGCAGUGAAAUGCGUAGAUACGCGGAGGAACACCGAUGGCGAAGGCAAUCCCUGGGCCUGCACUGACGCUCAUGCACGAAAGCGUGGGGAGCAAACAGG
rnacentral:rRNA from 1 species